rnacentral:sRNA from 1 species
AGGUAGCACGCGUGCACUCCGGUUCCUGUGCGCCGUCCACGUCCACUUGACGGUGACUGGCUAAGGUUUGU